AAAUUGAAGAGUUUGAUCAUGGCUCAGAUUGAACGCUGGCGGCAGGCCUAACACAUGCAAGUCGAGCGGUAGCACAGAGAGCUUGCUCUCGGUGACGAGCGGCGGACGGGUGAGUAAUGUCUGGGAAACUGCCUGAUGGAGGGGGAUAACUACUGGAAACGGUAGCUAAUACCGCAUAAUGUCGCAAGACCAAAGUGGGGGACCUUCGGGCCUCAUGCCAUCAGAUGUGCCCAGAUGGGAUUAGCUAGUAGGUGGGGUAAUGGCUCACCUAGGCGACGAUCCCUAGCUGGUCUGAGAGGAUGACCAGCCACACUGGAACUGAGACACGGUCCAGACUCCUACGGGAGGCAGCAGUGGGGAAUAUUGCACAAUGGGCGCAAGCCUGAUGCAGCCAUGCCGCGUGUGUGAAGAAGGCCUUCGGGUUGUAAAGCACUUUCAGCGGGGAGGAAGGCGAUAAGGUUAAUAACCUUGUCGAUUGACGUUACCCGCAGAAGAAGCACCGGCUAACUCCGUGCCAGCAGCCGCGGUAAUACGGAGGGUGCAAGCGUUAAUCGGAAUUACUGGGCGUAAAGCGCACGCAGGCGGUCUGUCAAGUCGGAUGUGAAAUCCCCGGGCUCAACCUGGGAACUGCAUUCGAAACUGGCAGGCUAGAGUCUUGUAGAGGGGGGUAGAAUUCCAGGUGUAGCGGUGAAAUGCGUAGAGAUCUGGAGGAAUACCGGUGGCGAAGGCGGCCCCCUGGACAAAGACUGACGCUCAGGUGCGAAAGCGUGGGGAGCAAACAGGAUUAGAUACCCUGGUAGUCCACGCCGUAAACGAUGUCGAUUUGGAGGUUGUGCCCUUGAGGCGUGGCUUCCGGAGCUAACGCGUUAAAUCGACCGCCUGGGGAGUACGGCCGCAAGGUUAAAACUCAAAUGAAUUGACGGGGGCCCGCACAAGCGGUGGAGCAUGUGGUUUAAUUCGAUGCAACGCGAAGAACCUUACCUGGUCUUGACAUCCACAGAACUUUCCAGAGAUGGAUUGGUGCCUUCGGGAACUGUGAGACAGGUGCUGCAUGGCUGUCGUCAGCUCGUGUUGUGAAAUGUUGGGUUAAGUCCCGCAACGAGCGCAACCCUUAUCCUUUGUUGCCAGCGGUCCGGCCGGGAACUCAAAGGAGACUGCCAGUGAUAAACUGGAGGAAGGUGGGGAUGACGUCAAGUCAUCAUGGCCCUUACGACCAGGGCUACACACGUGCUACAAUGGCAUAUACAAAGAGAAGCGACCUCGCGAGAGCAAGCGGACCUCAUAAAGUAUGUCGUAGUCCGGAUUGAGUCUGCAACUCGACUCCAUGAAGUCGGAAUCGCUAGUAAUCGUAGAUCAGAAUGCUACGGUGAAUACGUUCCCGGGCCUUGUACACACCGCCCGUCACACCAUGGGAGUGGGUUGCAAAAGAAGUAGGUAGCUUAACCUUCGGGAGGGCGCUUACCACUUUGUGAUUCAUGACUGGGGUGAAGUCGUAACAAGGUAACCGUAGGGGAACCUGCGGUUGGAUCACCUCCUUACCUUAAAGAA
rnacentral:rRNA from 1 species